AUGCCUCGCUGUAUGUCUCUCUUAAAUGUCAAUAUGCCUUGUAUACUGUUGUUCAGGUUAGUUAUCAUUGUUUUAGUUUACAAUGGAGCCCCUAGUUUCACUCUUCAUACCCCUGAUACCUCCUUUGUCCCACCUCCCACACAUGCGGUGACCUCACCCAUUACAACCAGCAAGUCCAGUGAUACAACCUCUCUCAUCAUCACCCAGUGCCUGGGCUUACCUCCGCUGUACCCGCACCCCACCAUACCCCUGUCUGCGCAUUAUGCCCUGAAUAAAUUCUACCAUGCCCAGAAACCUGCUCCUCUUAUUCUCUGUCCCCAACGCUCUAGGCGACCAGUUUUGAUAGCCUUUAGCCGCACCCUCAUUCUACUCCUCCUCUGUUCCGCGGGUGAUGUGGAGGUAAACCCAGGCCCUGCAUGUCCCCAGGCACCCUCGCAUGUCAACAUCAGAAGCCUCCUCCCUAAGUUUGUUUUACUCACUGCUUUAGCACACUCUGCUAACCCUGAUGUCCUUGCCGUGUCUGAAUCUUGGCUCAGGAAGGUCACCAAAAAUUCUGAGAUUUCCAUACCCAACUAUAACAUUUUCCGUCAAGAUAGAACUGCCAAAGGGGGAGGAGUUGCAGUCUACUGCAGAGAUAGCCUGCAAAGUAAUGUCAUACUUUCCAGGUCCAUACCCAAACAGUUCAAACUACUAAUUUUGAAAAUGACUCUCUCCAGAAAUAAGUCUCUCACUGUUGCCGCCUGCUACCGACCCCCCUCAGCUCCCAGCUGUGCCCUGGACACAAUUUGUGAAUUGAUCGCCCCCCAUCUAGCUUCAGACUUUGUUCUGUUAGGUGACCUAAACUGGGAUAUGCUUAACUCCUCGGCAGUCAUACAAUCUAAGCUAGAUGCCCUCAAUCUCACACAAAUCAUCAAGGAACCCACCAGGUACAACCCUAAAUCUGUAAACAAGGGCACCCUCAUAGACGUCCUCCUGACCAACUGGCCCUCCAAAUACACCUCCGCUGUCUUCAACCAGGAUCUCAGCGAUCACUGCCUCAUUGCCUGUAUCCGCUACGGAGCCGCAGUCAAACGACCACCCCUCAUCACUGUCAAACGCUCCCUAAAACACUUCUGUGAGCAGGCCUUUCUAAUCGACCUGGCCCGGGUAUCCUGGAAGGACAUUGACCUCAUCCCGUCAGUUGAGGAUGCCUGGUCAUUCUUUAAAAGUAACUUCCUCACCAUUUUAGAUAAGCAUGCUCCGUUCAAAAAAUGCAGAACUAAGAACAGAUAUAGCCCUUGGUUUACUCCAGACCUGACUGCCCUCGACCAGCACAAAAACAUCCUGUGGCGGACUGCAAUAGCAUCGAAUAGUCCCCGCGAUAUGCAACUGUUCAGGGAAGUCAGGAACCAAUACACGCAGUCAGUCAGGAAAGCUAAGGCCAGCUUCUUCAGGCAGAAGUUUGCAUCCUGUAGCUCCAACUCCAAAAAGUUCUGGGACACUGUGAAGUCCAUGGAGAACAAGAGCACCUCCUCCCAGCUGCCCACUGCACUGAGGCUAGGUAACACGGUCACCACCGAUAAAUCCAUGAUUAUCGAAAACUUCAACAAGCAUUUCUCAACGGCUGGGCAUGCCUUCCGCCUGGCUACUCCAACCUCGGCCAACAGCUCUGCCCCCCCCCGCAGCUACUCGCUCAAGCCUCUCCAGGUUCUCCUUUACCCAAAUCCAGAUAGCAGAUGUCCUGAAAGAGCUGCAAAACCUGGACCCGUACAAAUCAGCUGGGCUUGA
ensembl:lncRNA